GAUGAACGCUGGCGGCGUGCUUAACACAUGCAAGUCGAACGAUGAAAGCGGGAGCUUGCUCCUGCUGGAUUAGUGGCGAACAGGUGAGUAACACGUGAGCAAUCUGCCCCGAACUCUGGGAUAAGCGUUGGAAACGACGUCUAAUACCGGAUACGACGCGCGAAGGCAUCUUCUGCGCGUGGAAAGAAUUUCGGUUCGGGAUGAGCUCGCGGCCUAUCAGCUAGUUGGUGAGGUAACGGCUCACCAAGGCGACGACGGGUAGCCGGCCUGAGAGGGGGACCGGCCACACUGGGACGGAGACACGGCCCAGACUCCUACGGGAGGCAGCAGUGGGGAAGAUUGCACAAUGGGCGCAAGCCUGAUGCAGCAACGCCGCGUGAGGGACGACGGCCUUCGGGUUGUAAACCUCUUUUAGUAGGGAAGAAGCGAAAGUGACGGUACCUGCAGAAAAAGCACCGGCUAACUACGUGCCAGCCGCCGCCGUAACAC
rnacentral:rRNA from 1 species